rnacentral:rRNA from 1 species
CAGCCGCCGCGGGAAUACGGAGGGAGCUAGCGUUGUUCGGAAUUACUGGGCGUAAAGCGCACGUAGGCGGCUUUGUAAGUUAGAGGUGAAAGCCUGGAGCUCAACUCCAGAAUUGCCUUUAAGACUGCAUCGCUUGAAUCCGAGAGAGGUGAGUGGAAUUCCGAGUGUAGAGGUGAAAUUCGUAGAUAUUCGGAAGAACACCAGUGGCGAAGGCGGCUCACUGGCUCGGUAUUGACGCUGAGGUGCGAAAGCGUGGGGAGCAAACAGGAUUAGAUACCCCAGUAGUCCCUGUCUCUUAUAC